rnacentral:rRNA from 1 species
ACACAUGCAGUCGAGCGAACCUUCGGGUUAGCGGCGGACGGGUGAGUAACGCGUGGGAACGUACCCUCUUCUGCGGGAUAGCCACUGGAAACGGUGAGUAAUACCGCAUACGCCCUUUGGGGGAAAGAUUUAUCGGAGGAGGAUCGGCCCGCGUUGGAUUAGGUAGUUGGUGGGGUAAUGGCCUACCAAGCCUACGAUCCAUAGCUGGUUUUAGAGGAUGAUCAGCCACACUGGGACUGAGACACGGCCCAGACUCCUACGGGAGGCAGCAGUGGGGAAUCUUAGACAAUGGGCGCAAGCCUGAUCUAGCCAUGCCGCGUGAGUGACGAAGGCCUUAGGGUCGUAAAGCUCUUUCGCCAGAGAUGAUAAUGACAGUAUCUGGUAAAGAAACCCCGGCUAACUCCGUGCCGGCAGCCGCGGUAAUACGGAGGGGGUUAGCGUUGUUCGGAAUUACUGGGCGUAAAGCGCACGUAGGCGGAUUGGAAAGUUGGGGGUGAAAUCCCAGGGCUCAACCCUGGAACGGCCUCCAAAACUCCCAGUCUAGAGUUCGAGAGAGGUGAGUGGAAUUCCGAGUGUAGAGGUGAAAUUCGUAGAUAUUCGGAGGAACACCAGUGGCGAAGGCGGCUCACUGGCUCGAUACUGACGCUGAGGUGCGAAAGUGUGGGGAGCAAACAGGAUUAGAUACCCUGGUA